rnacentral:rRNA from 1 species
GAUGAACGCUGGCGGCGUGCUUAACACAUGCAAGUCGAGCGAGAAAUGGAGACGGAACCCUUCGGGCGGAAGGCUUCAUUUCGAGUGGCGGACGGGUGAGUAACGCGUGGGUAACCUGCCUCAUACAGGGGGAUAACAGUUGGAAACGACUGUUAAUACCGCAUAAGACCACAGCACCGCAUGGUGCGGGGGUAAAAACUCCGGUGGUAUGAGAUGGACCCGCGUUCGAUUAGCCAGUUGGCGGGGUAACGGCCCACCAAAGCGACGAUCGAUAGCCGAUCUGAGAGGAUGACCGGCCACAUUGGGACUGAGACACGGCCCAAACUCCUACGGGAGGCAGCAGUGGGGAAUAUUGCACAAUGGGGGAAACCCUGAUGCAGCGACGCCGCGUGAGUGAAGAAGUACUUCGGUAUGUAAAGCUCUAUCAGCAGGGAAGAAAAUGACGGUACCUGAGUAAGAAGCCCCGGCUAACUACGUG